rnacentral:rRNA from 1 species
CCUACGGGGGGCUGCAGUAAGGAAUAUUGGUCAAUGGACGCAAGUCUGACCCAGCCAUGCCGCGUGGAGGAUGAAGGUCCUCUGGAUUGUAAACUUCUUUUAUUUGGGAAGAAACUCCCGAUUUCCAUCGGGAUUGACGGUACCAGAUGAAUAAGCACCGGCUCACUCCGUGCCAGCAGCCGCGGUAAUACGGAGGGUGCAAGCGUUAUCCGGUUUCACUGGUUUGUAGGGGGGCAGGUAAGGCAGUGGUGAAAUCUCCGGGCUUAACCCGGAAACGGCCAUGGAUACUAUUUGUCUUGAAUACUCUGGAGGUGAGCGGAAUAUGGCAUGUAGCGGUGAAAUGCGUAGAUAUGACAUAGAACACCCAUUGCGAAGGCAGCUCACUACGGAAAUAUUGACGCUGAGGCACGAAAGCGUGGGGAUCAAACAGGAUUAGAUACCCCUGUAGUC